UAAGUACAGACUCUCAGUACAGUGAAACCGCGAAAGGCUCAUUAGAUCGGUCAAUGUUUACUGGAUCGUACAAUCCUACUUGGAUAACUGUGGCAAUUCUAGAGCUAAUACAUGCAACGAAGCUCCGACCUCCGGGGAAGAGCGCUUUUAUUAGAUCAAGACCAAUCGGGAGUUUCGGCUACCGUCCCAUUUGGCGACUCUGGAUAACUUUGGGCUGAUCGCACGGCCUCGAGCUGGCGACGUAUCUAUCAAAUGUCCGCCCUAUCAACUUUCGACGGUACGUGAUAUG
rnacentral:rRNA from 1 species